GGAAUAUUGGACAAUGGGCGCAAGCCUGAUCCAGCCAUGCCGCGUGCAGGAUGACGGUCCUAUGGAUUGUAAACUGCUUUUGUACAGGAAGAAACACUCCGACGUGUCGGAGCUUGACGGUACUGUAAGAAUAAGGAUCGGCUAACUCCGUGCCAGCAGCCGCGGUAAUACGGAGGAUCCAAGCGUUAUCCGGAAUCAUUGGGUUUAAAGGGUCCGUAGGCGGUUUAAUAAGUCAGUGGUGAAAGCCCAUCGCUCAACGGUGGAACGGCCAUUGAUACUGUUAGACUUGAAUUAUUAGGAAGUAACUAGAAUAUGUAGUGUAGCGGUGAAAUGCUUAGAGAUUACAUGGAAUACCAAUUGCGAAGGCAGGUUACUACUAAUUGAUUGACGCUGAUGGACGAAAGCGUGGGUAGCGAACAGGAUUAGAUACCCGGG
rnacentral:rRNA from 1 species